GUGUCAGCCGCCGCGGUAAUACGAAGGGGGCUAGCGUUGUUCGGAAUUACUGGGCGUAAAGGGCGCGUAGGCGGUCCCUCAAGUCAGGCGUGAAAGCCCCGGGCUCAACCUGGGAACCGCGCUUGAGACUGAUGGGCUAGAGUUCGGGAGAGGAUGGUGGAAUUCCCAGUGUAGAGGUGAAAUUCGUAGAUAUUGGGAAGAACACCGAUGGCGAAGGCAGCCAUCUGGACCGACACUGACGCUGAGGCGCGAAAGCGUGGGGAGCAAACAGGAUUAGAUACCCGCGUAGUCC
rnacentral:rRNA from 1 species